UAAUCUUGAUCUUGAUAUAACAGUAUGCUCAGUAGCAUAUACUUAAGGUUUCAUGUGCGUAUAUAUAGCAAAAUUCAAAGCUACGCAAUUUGUUAUUUCUUCCAAAUAUGUACCUCCAACUUUACAGGACAUGGAAAUUGGAAGAAGAUUUAAAGUCAUCAAGCAGCUUAUGCCAUGCAUACCCUUUCAAUCAAGGGAGUGGAACCAGAGGGGAAAAGAUUGAAAUGGAGAGAAAAAGACAAACUGAGAGAGCUGACGAGACUACUCACUUUGGAGAAGUACAUGAUGUUCCUCAUAAUGUGUCAAGUUAACAAAACAAAAGAAACAGAAACAAGAAACAAAAGAGCAGCAGAGAACUCGGUGGUGGAUUAAAGGGGAAAUACUGACUCCCACAAAUCAAAAUGAUUGAACAAUAUAGGAGUUACUUCAGCAGAUUCUCCUGGAUGAAAGCAGCAGGGCUAGUUGUGGCUGUAAUGGGAAGACACAGCUCAAGCUAUAAAUACUAUAUCUCCAAAUAAGAAAGUCCUGGUUGAUCAGUACAUCUGAAAUGAAACAAGACAGGGAGAUAGAGAUGAAGGUAAGGGGAGCAACUCUGUCUUCAGUCUUUUUGUCUGCCCAACCUUUUACUUUCUCUCUGGACCUACUGUGGACCUCUCAGGUGUCACUGAAUGAUAUCACACACACACACACACACAAAUGCACACCGGUAGAUAAAGAGCCAAAAGAGAUGACAGAAAGAGAUGAAAAAGCAAGAUGAGGGAAAGAAGGAGGCACAGUCAGAAAGAAAGACGGAGCCAGGGUGAUUCUUUGCCAGCAGUCUAUUAGUUAAUCCCUGUGUUUAUCCAGUCGAGUGCAGUAUCUUACCUGAUGAUGGCAGUGAUAAAACAUACGGUUUUAUAUCUAAGCAACUACCUGACCAAACACAGCCGGGCCAAGGACAUGGCGCUGCACGGCAGUUUUCUGUACAAGCCUGUGAAAGAGUUGCAAGGCUUUCUCCAUCAAGCCUUUCUCCACUAAAAGAAAAACGCGAGAAGACGUAAUAGUCAAUCUUUAAAUCUCAGAAGUCAAAUAUAUAGGUGGACGGAACAUACUAUCUCAUGUCAGAAAGUAUAAGACGGGCCUAUCCGUACGAAUACAAGGGCAUGAACAAAGCUUGAAGUGUAAUAUUCAAUUCAUUCGAUCUACAACGUAUGUAACUUUUAAUCCUGAGCUGAUAGAUUUAAGGGUCACAUGUUCUAUGUGAGGAUAUGUAGGAAAUAAACCAUAG